ensembl:lncRNA
GUGCCCUGCAUGCACAGAUGAGGGUAGGAGUGGGGGCGCUUGGCUCCAGUUCCCCUCAGGGAAGCAGUCGGAGGCGGUGGGCAGAGUGGGGGCCACGGCAUGGCAGGGGCAGCGAGAGCCUCCUAACGAGGUCCUCACGCCCCGCUGAGCGGGUGCCGGUGAGCAGGAGCCAUCCAUCAUCGGCGGGGAUAAUUGUUCAGGGAGCCAGGGGGGCCCAGCCAGAUGUGCGCCUUUUGGACUCCAUAAGAACGAACACUCCCUUUCAGGCCAUUUAUCAAAUUUAGCUGGAUCUCUCAUCUUUUUUUCCGUUUGUUUCCGUCAAGGAGACUUUCUUCUAAUGAAGACGAAUGCAGAGCGAUGAGUGACUUGGCAAAAGCCAACGCAGUCAGAAUACAGGCUUCAUUCAGGGAAGUGAAAAACCCAGGUGGUGCUGAGUUUGGAGAAAUGUCUGAGAGCAUGCUGAGUGCCCGAGCCUUGAAGGGGUUCUACUGUGGAUCUGGGGGUACAGCCGGCCCCUCUCUGACGAAGCUCCACCUUCAGCUUCCAGAGCAGAGGCUAGACCUUGUCGGGGUCUUUUCCAGGCCUGGGAAGAAGCCAUUCUCCAAGGUGACUGCACCUGCACAGGCUAGCUAGAGGCUGAGCUCAUUCUCCCUUGGGAGAGGGGAGAAGCUGGAAGAGUGUUCCUGAAGGGGCCUGGGUGGGGCCAGGGCGCAAAGCUCUGCUGGGAAGGCAGCUCUGGGCUGCAUCAGAGAAGACACAAGAACAGCAGGUGGCCCACAACGGCAACUGGGGGCUCCCAUGAGCAUGGAGGGAGGGAGAAGGGACAGCCCUAGGACAACAACCUUUUAGGAUACUGCUGCUGGGGGUGCUGAGGGGAGGCAGGAGUUUCCAGGCCUGACUUGCACCUGAAACAAAGGAGGUUGGAAGCAGAGGCUGGUGCAAGGUGGCCCCAGGGGUUAUCUAACCCAAUGCUCAUUUUCCAUAUGAGGAAACUGAGGCCCAGAAAGCUUGUUCCAUGGGGACUGCCAAUGAUGUGUUUCACUUUAAAUUUGAAAAAUGUGGGUUGGGCUCGGUUGGCAGAAAAUUUAGAGUCAUGCAGAACCAUAGUUGUUUGAGGGUUAGAGCCCCCAAUUAUUAGGGCUGUCUGGGUGUCAGGCUGCAUGCUACAUACUUUAUAGCAUCCUCUCGUGGCCCCUCCCAAGGGGUGAGGACCAGCCCUACUUUACAGGUGAGGAGCUGAGAUCCAGAGAUCCAGAGGGGUUUAGUUCCUUAGAAAGCAGGUGGAGGAGCUGGGGCCUGGGCAGCCUGACCACACCUCUGGGGUCACAGUCCUGGUAAUGUGGACUGAGUGCGUGUAUAAGAAUCCCUGGGAGCCCUGCCUCCCCUUCCCCUGAUCCAGGAAGUGUGGGUGAGCCCUAAGAAGGAGACUGUGGAGCAAGCCCCCUCCCAUGCCCCAUCUCUAAUGCAGACACAGGGUCUCUAUAGACCACAUUUUCAGAAACACUGCAUAGGCUCUGUCUACAAAUCUCCAACUGAGAGCCCAGACAUAGAAGGUGAUGCAUAAAAAUACGAAGAGAACUAAUAAUAACAGAACAUAGCUUAUAUAUAGCUCACUAUGUGCUGUAUAUACACU